CCCUUAGAUGUUCUGGGCCGCACGCGCGCUACACUGAUGCGUUCAACGAGUUUAUAACCUUGACUGGUAGGUCUGGGUAAUCUUUUGAAUGCGCAUCGUGCUAGGGAUAGAUUAUUGCAAUUAUUAAUCUUGAACGAGGAAUUCCUAGUAAACGCAAGUCAUCAGCUUGCAUUGAUUACGUCCCUGCCCUUUGUACACACCGCCCGUCGCACAGACCGAUUGAAUGAUUCGGUGAAGACCUUGGACGUUUGUAAAUGAGGGUUUAAUUACCUUUGGUUUACGAAUGGAAGAUGUCUAAACCUAAUUAUUUAGAGGACUGUGAAGUCGUAACA
rnacentral:rRNA from 1 species